rnacentral:rRNA from 1 species
AUUGAACGCUGGCGGAAUGCUUUACGCAUGCACGUCGAACGGUAGAGGGGGCAACCCCUCGAGAGUGGCGAACGGGUGAGUAAUAUAUCGGAACGUGCCCAGUCGUGGGGGAUAACGUAGUGAAAAUUACGCUAAUACCGCAUACGAUCUAUGGAUGAAAGCGGGGGAUCGCAAGACCUCGCGCGAUUGGAGCGGCCGAUAUCAGAUUAGGUAGUUGGUGGGGUAAAGGCCCACCAAGCCAACGAUCUGUAGCUGGUCUGAGAGGACGGCCAGCCACACUGGAACUGAGACACGGUCCAGACUCCUACGGGAGGCAGCAGUGGGGAAUUUUGGACAAUGGGCGAAAGCCUGAUCCAGCCAUUCCGCGUGCAGGAUGAAGGCCCUCGGGUUGUAAACUGCUUUUGUACAGAACGAAAAGGUUUCUACUAAUACUAGGAGCUCAUGACGGUACUGUAAGAAUAAGCACCGGCUAACUACGUGCCAGCCGCCGCGGUAA